AGAGAAGCAGGACCGGCGUUGUCAGGAAGCUCAGCUCAUGCUCCAAGUCGGCCCCGAAACAGAAGAUUCAGAAGAUAGCCGGAGAACCAGAGCACGGAACGGGCUCUGCACUACCUGUUUGUACUGACAGGUUUUACAUGAGGGCCAACUACAUCCCCCCCGCACCAUCCAUGCUUCGCCCAUUGUUACCAUGGUUCAGCCUCAAGGCCUACUACAUAUACCCAUAGGAUGUCCA